rnacentral:rRNA from 1 species
GACGAACGCUGGCGGCGUGCUUAACACAUGCAAGUCGAACGCGAAAACCCUUCGGGGUGAGUAGAGUGGCGAACGGGUGAGUAACACGUGGGCAACCUGCCCCAAGGAGCGGGACAACCCGGGGAAACUCGGGCUAAUACCGCAUGAUUCGCCGGCACUCAAGUGCCGGCGGCAAAUGGUAGCUUCGGCCUCCGCCUUGGGAUGGGCCCGCGGCGCAUUAGCUGGUUGGUGAGGUAACGGCUCACCAAGGCGACGAUGCGUAGCUGGUCUGAGAGGACGUUCCGCCACACUGGGACUGAGACACGGCCCAGACUCCUACGGGAGGCAGCAGUGGGGAAUCUUGCGCAAUGGGCGGAAGCCUGACGCAGCAACGCCGCGUGUGGGAAGACGGCCCUCGGGUUGUAACCCACUUUCAGGGGGGACGAAGCUUCCAGGGUUAAUAGCCCAUGGGGUGACGGUACCCCCAGAAGAAGCCCCGGCUAACUACGUGCCAGCCGCCGCAGUAAUAC